rnacentral:SRP_RNA from 1 species
AUAAAGUUCAAUAAAGAACUAUGAAUCUUGUCAGGUCCGGAAGGAAGCAGCAAUAAGUAGAAAUCUUUAUGUGAAAGUUAUUUUC